GGUAUCCAUGGUUGGCCAAGAAGGUCAUCUGGUGGCGCCAGGAAUACCAAAUUUCUGGGAACCCGUGAAGGAGAAGAACAAGGGGGCCACUCCCCUUCUCUGCUACGUGCAGCCAUAUACCGUUUGUUUGGAUCCGCUGGUGAUUUACCUCGUCUUCCAUGUUCCCUCAAGUUUACUCAAACUCAGUCGCAGAGAGGAACAGGCAUUCAAUGAACGAAACGACUUCAGAGGUACAUGAAUACCAUGUGUAUGUAUGAGGUCAUUUCUUUGAAGAAGGAUCCCACCAAUUGGUGCUCCUUCCAGAUAUGAACCCUACAAGGCUCUUUUCAUUGAUCUCUCUCGCAAUCUGAAAAAUCAUUUACCUAGGCAUCAGCUAUGCUACUCAGAUUUGCAUAUGUAAUAGUAUCUCCAUUACUGAUUUCAUUGCUGUUAAACCAAGGGCCACCUGAGCAGUCAAUAUUUAACCACAUCUCCUUCAACA